AGCGUAGGCGGACUUUUAAGUGGGAUGUGAAAUACUCGGGCUCAACCUGAGUGCUGCAUUCCAAACUGGAAGUCUAGAGUGCAGGAGGGGAAAGUGGAAUUCCUAGUGUAGCGGUGAAAUGCGUAGAUAUUAGGAAGAACACCGGUGGCGAAGGCGACUUCUGGACUGUAACUGACGCUGAGGCUCGAAAGCGUGGGGAGCGAACA
rnacentral:rRNA from 1 species